UACGUAGGGAGCAAGCGUUGUUCGGAUUUACUGGGCGUAAAGGGCGCGUAGGCGGCGCGGUAAGUCACUUGUGAAAUCUCUGAGCUUAACUCAGAACGGCCAAGUGAUACUGCAGUGCUAGAGUGCAGAAAGGGCAAUCGGAAUUCUUGGUGUAGCGGUGAAAUGCGUAGAUAUCGGGAGGAACACCUGCGGCGAAGGCGGGUUGCUGGGCUGACACUGACGCUGAGGCGCGAAAGCUAGGGGAGCGAACGGG
rnacentral:rRNA from 1 species